AGAGUUUGAUCCUGGCUCAGAAUCAACGCUGGCAGCGUGCCUAACACAUGCAAGUCUAACGAGAAAGUGGGGCUUGCUCCACGAGUAAAGUGGCAAACGGGUGAGUAACACGUGAACAACCUACCCUCGAGUGGGGGAUAACACCGCGAAAGCGGUGCUAAUACCGCAUAACAUCUCUGGUUCGCAUGAACUUGAGAUCAAAAGCGCAAGUUGCUUGAGGAGGGGUUUGCGUCUGAUUAGCUAGUUGGUGAGGUAACGGCCCACCAAGGCUUCGAUCAGUAGCCGGCCUGAGAGGGCGAACGGCCACACUGGAACUGAGACACGGUCCAGACUCCUACGGGAGGCAGCAGUGGGGAAUUUUGCGCAAUGGGCGAAAGCCUGACGCAGCAACGCCGCGUGGAGGAUGAAGGCCUUCGGGUCGUAAACUCCUGUCAGUGGGGACGAAUGCUUCGCAAGAAGUUUGACUGUACCCGCUGAGGAAGCCACGGCUAACUCCGUGCCAGCAGCCGCGGUAAUACGGGGGUGGCAAGCGUUGUUCGGAAUUACUGGGCGUAAAGGGCGCGUAGGCGGCUUGGCAAGUCAGAUGUGAAAGCCCCGGGCUUAACCCGGGAAUUGCAUCUGAAACUGCCUGGCUUGAGUCCUGGAGGGGGUAGUGGAAUUCCCAGUGUAGCGGUGAAAUGCGUAGAUAUUGGGAGGAACACCUGCGGCGAAAGCGGCUACCUGGACAGUGACUGACGCUGAGGCGCGAAAGCUAGGGGAGCGAACGGGAUUAGAUACCCCGGUAGUCCUAGCCGUAAACGAUGGGCACUUGGUGUUGGGGGUAUUGAGUCCCUCUGUGCCGGAGUUAACACGUUAAGUGCCCCGCCUGGGGAGUACGGUCGCAAGACUGAAACUCAAAGGAAUUGACGG
rnacentral:rRNA from 1 species